UCCACCUUCACUGAUGCUACCUUCCAUCUGUAAUGGCCACCACCCAUCCCCACCGCCACCUCCACCUCCCCUCUUCUUACCCACUUCCACCAUAUUUACCAUACUACCCUUCUCUUCUCUCCUCCCCCACCAAACCUAGGUCUUGCAAGAUCCUCUGUUGCCUAUCAAUAAAGCAUUCGAAUGACAGCCAAAUUGCCACCAGCAACACCCACAACCACAAGCAACAAACCAGCAAUCUCCGGGUGGUGUUCGCGGCUGGUGAGACUGGGGGACAUAUAAUUCCUGCUUUGGCCAUAGCUGAUGAGCUCAAAAUCGCAAACCCCAACACCGAAUUCCUCUUUAUAGGAACCCCAAACAGCAUGGAAAGCGCUUCCAUCCCUUCCGCCGGAUAUCCCUUCUCUUCCAUCCCACCUGUAAGGUUGUAUCGCCCACUCUUCUCCCCUCGAAAUCUUUCCCUUCCCUUCCAUUUGAUUCAAUCAACCAUCCAUAGCUUCAAGCUUCUUCGAGAUUUCAAUCCUCAUAUAGUUGUAGGCACGG
rnacentral:misc_RNA from 1 species